UUGCAUAGCUGAAACCAGCCUGAAAUACUUUCUUAUUCCUCUGUUCACUAGACAACAUUAAUGUUCCAUGUUCUACUCCAUGAUAUCAAGUAAAACUUCUGGGAGACAAGGUAUCAACUGGAACUAACAACAGUAUCAGAAAAUAUAUGAGCAGGGUAAGAACUAAUUUAGCCUCUUAUACAUAUGAAAGUUUACCAUGUAUAGAAUGAGUUUUGUCUUUGAAAUACUAUCAUGAUCUAG
rnacentral:lncRNA from 1 species